GCUGAUAUUCAAGAGAUUCUUUGCGGAUCUGCUUACCUGCAAUGCUUUGGGCCCAGUCUUCUCUAUGCAUGCAUUUAAGAGAGAGAACUGCAAGAAAUCUCUUUUCAUUUCUAUAAAAGAAUCGGAUUUAUUCUAAAAGAUAUCUGCCAAUGUCUCUUCUUUUGAAACGAUAUCAGAAUGAUGGUUCUCAGAGAUAUGGCAAUGAGACUGCUAUAAAGGAAGAUUACUAGCAUUGAGAUCAUCAUGAGUAGAUUGAAGCCCAAAGUGUAUGUCUUCUUGUUGUUUAGGAGGGAGGUUACGACCAUCCUGAACAACAAGCAACAAGAGUACACAGUCUUUAAAAGAAAAAUAUAGAUCCACAACAACAUCUGAAGCUCCUCUUCCGGGAACGCUCCGAAAUUAUAUGGUCCUCACUAAUAUAAUACACUGACUUUCGAAAAACAAGAUUUUCAAAGAACCGAAAACAAGAAGCAGUUUAAUUACCUAUUUUUUACAAAGUAAAUAAGAUGAUCGAUAUAAAUAGCCAUGGAAAGAGAGAGGGCGUGUGGGCGUAUAUCAUCACGCCGCUAUUAGUAAAGUACUACCAAUUAAGAAGUACCUUACAAAGGGAAGACCGAAAUUAAUGAAGUCAUAAAAAGAGUAGCCCAUGGAAGAAGUCUCAAAGGAGUAAACUACUACAAGAGUACCAACAAUUGUAAAUAAAAGCCAGCCAAUAAAAUGGUUGCCAACAAACAAGUAUGAUUGAAGAAUUAGGAGCGUUUUUUUGGGGGUAGGGCGGUCACCAAGAGAAUGCACCCUCCAAAAGCAAGAGCAACUAGAAAAAGGCGGUGCCUGUGGAGUUCCCUUUGUUGUGCCCAUGUCUCCUGAAAAACAAGCCUCCACUCGCAUUUCAGUACAUAUGGGCUGAGAACUCUAGCCUGGAAUAGCAAACCCUUGAUAACUCACACUAAAAAGCAGAAUAGUCCGUAGCCAUUAGACUCGCUGAAGAGAGGCUUCUGAUUGUUGGGGUCAA
rnacentral:lncRNA from 1 species